CACCUGUAUGAAUACUUUUAUGUAAAGUUAGAUGAAUUCUUUGAGAGAAUGAUUUACCACAGAUAUCACAAUAUCACAGCAAUAUGGCUUCUCCCCAGUAUGCGUACGGUUGUGAAUAGCCAAGUAACUGUUUGCAGAAAAUGAUUUGCCACAAAUAUCACAGUGAUGCGGUUUCUCCCCAAUGUGAAUGCGUUUGUGUCUAGACAACUCACUACUUUGGGAGAAUGGUUGACCACAGAUGUCACAGUGAUAUGGUUUCUCUCCUGUAUGAAUACGUUUGUGAGUAGUUAAAUUACUAAUCUGGGAGAAUGAUUUGCUACAAAUAUCACAAUGGUAUGGUUUCUCUCCUGAAAAUGAUUUCCCACAGAUAUCACAAUGAUAUGGUUUCUCUUCAGUAUGAAUACAUUUGUGAGUGAUUAGGCUACCUUUUUGAGAGGUAUUACAUUGAUACAAUGUUUUAUCUGUCUCGUUCAACAUCUCAUCAGAAUAAUCAAUAUAUUUCAGAUCUUUUGCAACUGU